rnacentral:rRNA from 1 species
GACGAACGCUGGCGGCGUGCUUAACACAUGCAAGUCGAGCGGUAAGGCCCUUUCGGGGGUACACGAGCGGCGAACGGGUGAGUAACACGUGGGUGACCUGCCCUCAGCUCUGGGAUAAGCCUGGGAAACCGGGUCUAAUACUGGAUAUGACUCCAUGACGCAUGUUGUGGGGUGGAAAGCCUUGUGCGGCUGAGGAUGGGCCCGCGGCCUAUCAGCUUGUUGGUGGGGUGANGGCCUACCAAGGCGACGACGGGUAGCCGGCCUGAGAGGGCGACCGGCCACACUGGGACUGAGACACGGCCCCAGACUCCUACGGGAGGCAGCAGUGGGGAAUCUUGCGCAAUGGGCGAAAGCCUGACGCAGCGACGCCGCGUGAGGGAU